rnacentral:rRNA from 1 species
GACGAACGCUGGCAGCAUGCUUAACACAUGCAAGUCGACCGGAAAUUCGGUGCUUAUCUGAGGUGCGGGUGGCGGACGGGUGAGUAACGCGCAAAGGUCUUGCCUCACAGCCAGGGACAUCACUUGGAAACGAAUGCGAAUACCUAAUAUUAGGAUAACAGGGCAUCCGAUAGGUAUGAAAGCUAUAAGCGCUGUGGGAGGGCUUUGCGGCCAAUUAGCUAGUUGGUGGGGUAUUGGCUCACCAAGGCGAUGAUGGGUAGCCGGCCUGAGAGGGUGACCGGCAACAAGGGGCUGGGGAAACGGCCAUUACUCUAACGGGGGGAAGAGGUGGGGAAUAUUGGAAAAGGGAGCGAGAGUGUGAUAGAGACGUUCUGUGUGGAAGAUGAAGUUUUUCGGAAUGAAAAGUGUUUUCAGUUGAGGAGGAGCGAGUGACGGUACCAAGAGAAGAAGUGACGGCUAAAUACGUG